UACGGAGGGUGCAAGCGUUAUCCGGAUUCACUGGGUUUAAAGGGUGCGUAGGCGGGCAGGUAAGUCCGUGGUGAAAUCUCUGAGCUUAACUCAGAAACUGCCAUGGAUACUAUCUGUCUUGAAUAUUGUGGAGGUAAGCGGAAUAUGUCAUGUAGCGGUGAAAUGCUUAGAUAUGACAUAGAACACCAAUUGCGAAGGCAGCUUACUACACAGUUAUUGACGCUGAGGCACGAAAGCGUGGGGAUCAAACAGG
rnacentral:rRNA from 1 species